UCAUGUGCAUGUAUAGAACUACUUUGAGCAUUUCUUGUAGGUCUGGUCUAGUGGCAACGAAUUCCUUUAGCAUUUGCUUCUCUGGGACUUACUUUAUUUCUCCUUUGUUUAUGAAGCUUUGUUUGACAGGAUAUAAAAUUCUUGGCUUAGACUUUUUUCUUAAAGGAGGCUAAAAGUUGGCCCCUAAUCUCUUCUAGCUUGUAAGGUUUCUGAGAAGUCCACUGUUAGCCUGAUGGGAUUUCCGUUAUAGGUGAUUUGAUGCUUCUCUCUAACUGCUUUUAAGAUUUGCCCCUUCAUAUUAACCUUGGAUAGUCUGGUGACUAUAUAUUUUGAUGAUGUUUGUUUUGCAUAGCAUUUUCUAGCUGUUCUCUGAAUUCCUUGUAUCUGGAUGUCUAUGUCUCUAAAAAGAUUGGGGACAGUUUCCUAAAUUAUUCCCUCAAAUAUAUUUUCCAAACUUCUUACUUUUUCUUUUUCUUCCUAAGAAUACCUAUAGGUCAUAGGUUUUGUUGCUUUACAUAAUCCCAUAUUUCUCAAAGGCUUUGUUCAUUUUCCAAAAAUUUCUUCUUUAUUUUUAUCUGACUUUGUUAAUUUGAAAUACUAGUCUUUGAGCUCUGAAAUUCUUUCUUCUUCUUGGUCUUGUCUCUUGUUACAACUUUCAACUGUGUUCUGAAGUUCUUUUAGUCAAUAUUUCAUUUCCAGGAGUUCUGGGGGUUUUGUUGUUGUUGCUGUUUUUAAAUAAAUCUACAUCAUCUUGUAUCUCCUGGACUGUUUUUCUGUUUUCUUUGUGUUGAUUUUCAACUUUCUCUGGGAUAUCAUUGAGCUUCCUUACAAUCUAUAUUUUGAAUUCUUUAUCUGUCAUUUCAAAAUUUUCAUUCUGACUAGGAUAAUAUUCUGUUUCUUGAUGGUGUUGGAGUUCUUGUGUUUGUUUCUUCUCAUUUGCAGAAACUGUCACUCCAUUUUUUUUUUUUUUUUUUUUUUUUUUUUUGAGGGGGAAUCUCUCUCUGUCACCCAGGCUGGAGUGCUGUGGUUCGAUCUUGGCUCAUUGCAACCUUCACCUCCUGGGUUCAAGUGAUUCUCCUGCCUCAGCCUCCUGAGUAACUGGGAUUAGAAGUGCAUGCCACCAUGCCUGGCUAAUUUUUGUAUUUUUAGUAGAGAUAGGGUUUUACCGUGUUGGCCAAGCUGGUCUCGAACUCCUAACCUCAAGUGAUCCACCAGCCUUGGCCUCCCAAAGUGUUGGGGUUACAGGCAUGAGCCACUGUGCCCGACCCAAGCUGUCACUUCUUAUUUUUGAAUUUAUUUUCGCUUGGAUGGGAUUUCCCACCCCGUCCUUGAGACUGUGGCUGUAGAGUGUGUUGGGCUGGGUCUUCCAGCUUUGCUUCUGUAAGUAGUUGAAAUGGUCAGAUGAAACCAGGGCAUCUGUGCUGUUGGCCUUUCACUGGGGAAGGCAGAACUACUCAGCUGGAGCAAUGGAGGCUGGCAGCCAUGGGGUGGAUAAUCUGUACUUUCCUCCUGCAAGAGCAGUGGUGGAUUUCACUGUUGGGGGCACACAAAGGUGCCUAGUUUUCUCUGCUCCCUCCCUGGCCCAGGGGGUGGCAGGGGCUCUUAGGGAGCUGAGUUCUCAGGAGAACGCCUGGUCAUAACCAAAAUGCACAUGCAGGAGUAGACUGACCUGACACAGAAGGCAGGCCCUGUUUAGUGGGGAUAGCUGAGGUAAGCAGUUGUGCAGUACAGCACUGUUUUAAAUGUUGUUCUUGUGUAGUUAUAAUAGUUUUCCUUUUCCUUUGAAAAAUGAUCUAGUUUGACAAUAAACUGUUUGAUCACAGUAUUACUUAAGUGUCCUCACUCUCUCUUCUCCUGCUUCUGUAUUUCUUGCCUUGACUACUCAUAUGUUCCUGAAAUCCAUCUACUGAGAGGGGAGCAUUACACAACUGAAACAUCACUGCAGAGGUGUCAUUUAUAUAAACAUUAUGUGAAUGGUGUCACUGGAAUUUUUUAGUUCACAAUCUAUACUCCCAGCUUUUGCAUCUGUCUCGUUCACGAAUCUCUAAAUGAUUUGCUUUCCCCAGGCUGAUGAAGACUGGGGCUCAAAAAGACCCAAUCUUGGAAAUGUAAUUUUAUCUCCAAAAUUAAUCAGGACAACGCCUUAUAUUCAUUCCCCCACUGCUCCUCACACUUGGCUUGAUUCAUUCCUCAGCCUAGUUUUUUGACUCGUAGCCCUUUAAUAGAAGAUCUAGGUUACCUUUGACACUUCCAUCCUCUGCAAAGUACAAUCUCUGUUAUUAAUCUCCUUGCUUCAUGUGUGAUUUGCGGGUCAUCUGUCCUAUGUGGCUCCAAGUGGUCUCCUAGAAAAGGAAUAGAAUACAGAAUAUGAUAAACCUAGGACAGCAGUUAACCCAGUGACCAUUCACUCUCCUGACCCUCCGGGAGAUCAGAUGUGCUAACACUUCAUGAUCCUGGAAAAGGCUGACUCAUUUCUCUGGUACAAUCUACCCUAACUUAAAAUCCUUUAGAAAGUCCCUGGAACAAACAUGAUUCUCUCCAGACAACAGAUCAGAGAAGCUUUAAGAACAAUUCUAGCCUUUGUAAUACUUAGGGAGCAGGGCAACCAAAUGGCUUCAUGGAAAGAGCCCUAAAAUGGGAGUUAUGGGAUCUAUGGAGACCACCUAAGAAUGCACCUCUGAAAAAUACAGCUUGGUAAUCCACAACCUGAUAACUGUGUCUUAGAUUCCCUUGCUGGGGCUGCACAACAAACCCCUGAGAGAGACUAAAGCAUACAUUGCACUGUGAGUACAGCAUGAAUUCUGGUUGCCUUUGCCAUGGGGAAUGUCCUCCAUUGACUAACCCAGGGUCCACAUUGGGCUGACCUUCUUCAGCACAAGGUCAUUUACCUAUUCUACUCCAUCUUCAGCCUGUUAGGAGGGCUGCUUUUUGUCUCUACUUGUCCUCUGUAGCCUUCCCAUAAAUCAAAGUUCUAGGAUAGUAUCAUACACUCCAGACAGGGCAGGACAGGUCCUUCUACUUUCAUUGUCCUUAACUUUCACUGUCCUUAACUUGAGCUCGCUGCAUGUCCUACAGGACUGGCUCAACCUUGCUAUCCUUACCAACCUCACCAAAACCCUUCUGCUAAGAUCACCUCCUAAUUGAAGAGUGAAAAGAUUCUUUUCCAUUUAUACUAUAGUUAUACUUUUCAGCUUUAAAUACCACUUAGUUUUGUUUUGUUUGCUUUUAUUACUUUAAUUUUUAAAACAUUACAUACUGUAUUGUACUAUACUUACAGAGAAUUAUGUAUAUACUUACACUUGCAUAGAUCAGUAUGCAUUGGUCUGUAUUCAUGACACAGAGGAUAUGGAACAAUUCUAACACCCUGAAUAAUUCUCUUUUCCUGUCCCUUUGUAUUCAGUCUCCCCCUUCCUAAUCCUUAACAACCACUGACAAGUUUUCUGUCUUACAUUUUUUUACUUUUCCAUAAUGUCAUAUAAAUAGAAUCAUAUAAAAUGUAAGUUUUUGAGACUAGGUUCUUUUACUUAGCACACUGAGAAUCAGGGACAUUGGGCAAUGUCUGGAGACCUUGUUAGUUAACUUGUCAGGGAAGAGUGUUACUGUCAUCUAGUGGAUAAAGUCCAAGGAUGCAACAAAAUAACCUACAGUGCACAGGAUGCCCUACAAGUCAUUCGGCCCAAAAAAGUCAAGAGCCCUGCUGUUGAGAAAUCUUAAUUUAGCACAAUGUACUUGAGAUUCAUUCAUAUUGUUGUAUGCUUCAAUAGUUAAUUUUAUUGCUGAGUAGCAUUCCAUUGUGUGGAUGUACGACAAUUUAUUUACCCAUUUAUCCCUGUAAAACAUCUGGAUUGUUUCCAAGUGUGAACAACUAUAAAUAAUGCUGCUGUAAACCUGCAUGCACAGGUUUUGAAUGACAUGUUUCCUUUCUCUAGGAUACAUACCCAGAAGUGUGAUGUGUGGCUCACAUGAGUGUAUGUUAGCUUUUCAGAAACCAUGAAAUGGUUUCCAGAGCGGCUAUAGUACGUCUGCAUCUCCAUCAGCAAUGUUUAUGGGUUCCUGUUGCUCUUCAUUCUCAACAGAACUUUUGUCAUACUCUGUUUUAUACCAGGGUGUGACACUGCAGAUCAAGGCAGAGAACAGCUCCAGCACCCUAGAAGCCCUCUUUGGGGCUCUUUCUAUUACAGCUCUACACUCAAAGGAGUAUCCUAAAAGAAAGUGGUGAGAGGAAAUCUUCCAGUGUGCAGAGCUGUGGUGGAACACCUGCUUGCCCACUUUGUGUGAAGAAGAAAGUAGCCUAAAGUAAGCAUUUACAAGGAUUUAUGAACAGUGACAAAGGGUUUACCUCAGUAGUCUGGACCAAGAAAGAACUAGAUUGAAAGGUUAGCCACAAAGAAGUCUGAGAAAGAGGGAUAUGAAUGGAGGUAUGCACAAAGUGUGAGGAUCCAUGUAUGAUAAGAUUAAGGUUCACCAGAGAGCAUCCACUGCAGAAAAACAUUAAACAACUAGGUUGACAGGAUGAUUCAUCCAAUGGACAUAAACCAGUCUCUAUCCUCAGCCUCUUCAAUGUGUACAUAAUGGGGCCAUGAAUGAAGUAGCCCAAGAUUUGACUGUAGAGCCUUGCAUUCCUGGAGUAAAUCUCAGUUGAUUGAGAGAUAACUGUCUAUGUUUUUUUUUUUUUUAAUUUUAAUGUCUACCUGGUUUGUUAUUAAGGUUUUGCCGACCUCUUGGAUAAGUUAAUAAGACUUUAUUCUGCUGAAGAAGUGUGGAGAAUUUGUAUCAUUAUUCUUUAAAGGCUUAGUGGAAUAUACCUUUAAAACAAUCUGAAAAACUAUCUAGGUCUGAUAUUUUCAGCUUAUUAAUUAUCUAUUCAAUUAAAAAUAUAUAUAGGUCUAUUAAGAAUGCCUAUUUAUUCUUGCAUGAGAUGUGGUAGUUUGUGUCUUUCAAGAAAUUGGUCAAAUUCAUCCAACUUAUGAAACUUGUAGUCAUUCAGUUGUUCAUAGGAUUGUUGUAUUAUCCUUUCAAUGUUCACGGGAUUGUAGUGAUGACUUUCCUUCAUUUCACACAUUGGUAAUUUGUGUCUUCUCUCU
rnacentral:lncRNA from 10 species